rnacentral:rRNA from 1 species
GACGAACGCUGCGGCGUGCCUAAUACAUGCAAGUAGAACGCUGAAGGAGGAGCUUGCUUCUCUGGAUGAGUUGCGAACGGGUGAGUAACGCGUAGGUAACCUGCCUGGUAGCGGGGGAUAACUAUUGGAAACGAUAGCUAAUACCGCAUAAUAUUGACUAUUGCAUGAUAGUUGAUUAAAAGGUGCAAUUGCACCACUACCAGAUGGACCUGCGUUGUAUUAGCUAGUUGGUGAGGUAACGGCUCACCAAGGCGACGAUACAUAGCCGACCUGAGAGGGUGAUCGGCCACACUGGGACUGAGACACGGCCCAAACUCCUACGGGAGGCAGCAGUAGGGAAUCUUCGGCAAUGGACGGAAGUCUGACCGAGCAACGCCGCGUGAGUGAAGAAGGUUUUCGGAUCGUAAAGCUCUGUUGUAAGAGAAGAACGAGUGUGAGAGUGGAAAGUUCACACUGUGACGGUAUCUUACCAGAAAGGACGGCUAAUAC